CAAGGAGCUUGUUUAACAGCUGAGUGACUUAAAGCAAUCAAAUUCCUUUAGCUUUAAAUCAUGCAGCUGUUGAAGAAGCUCUUGC
rnacentral:pre_miRNA from 1 species